AUUGAACGCUAGCGGGAUGCCUUACACAUGCAAGUCGAACGAGCGGCGGACGGGUGAGUAAUAUAUCGGAAUCUGCCCAGUAGCGGGGGAUAACUACUCGAAAGGUGGCUAAUACCGCAUACUAUUGGAUGAACCGCUAUGGGAUUAGCUAGUUGGUGGGGUAACGGCUCACCAAGGCGACGAUCUGUAGCUGGUCUGAGAGGCUGAUCAGCCACACUGGGACUUAGACACGGCCCAGACUCCUCCGGGAGGCAGCAGUGGGGAAUAUUGGACAAUGGGCGAAACCCGGAUCCAGCCAUGCCGCGGGUAUGAAGAAGGCCUUAGGGUUGUAAAGUACUUUGAGCGGGGAGGCGGUACCUGCAGAAGAAGCACCGGCGAACUCCGUGCCAGCAGCCGCGGUAAUAC
rnacentral:rRNA from 1 species